rnacentral:lncRNA from 1 species
CACCAUUAAGUCAUGCUAAAUUACUGAAAUCUUCACAAUUCCAGCUUUUUAGUUAAAUUUUAUACGGUUUUCGUGUUAAACGAAAGUGGUCGCAUUCGUGUUCAUCUUUAAUAUUGAAAUGUAAGUUGUAUUUUAUGAUAAUACAUAACAUAUAUAAAGGUUGAGGAUGAACACGGAUGCGGCCACUUUUAUUUUUGACAAAAACCAUCGGAAAAGUUACAUUUUUCGGCAUAUUUGGUAGAUUAUUCAUAUUUGAGCUUGAGUCGGAUCGUUUUUAAUGACUAAAUCAGUUAAAAUCUUUCACAUAAACUAAUUGAUUCAAAUGAAAUAGACACUUAAGGGUUUAAAAAGUGGUCAAAAUCUUUCGUCAGAUGAACCUGAAAUUUGAGGACAAAAUCGGUCCUUACCGGACCUACUCCU